rnacentral:lncRNA from 1 species
UGGGAUUUAAAGCAACGAUUUCAAGCUGCCACGGGUCUGAACAAGUUGAGGAAAUGCUGUGUGCACCUUAGGCAGCUCACGACAGGGCGCAGGAGAGAUGAUCACCAAUGGGCUAAUGCGUAUUCUGCCAGACCUCUUCCAUCUUGGGCCUGGCGAUUUUGGAAUGCUGUGGACGUUGACAGUCGUUACAACUUUCUUCAGAAUAUGUGCGUAUGCUGCUUUCCUCUGGAGAUCUGUCCUUGCUGUAAAAGCAGAAGUAGGAGGACCUUCCUGAUUCCUGGGAACACCCAGCAUGCUGAACCCAGUGGGGUGCCCAUGCAUGGGUGCUGGACCAGGUGCACCUCCUCUGGCGUGGUCACCUACGAUGCCUCAGCCUGCACUACAUGGAUUGGGAUUUUUUUGGAUAUUUUUCAAAGAAUUACACCCAAGCAUUUCAUGCAUGCCCACACUUAAAUCCCCAGCUUGUCGUUAUUACUGCCUACCUGCAAAUUGCUCUAUUGGCCAUUUACUGCUGGAAGAAGCUCUU